rnacentral:rRNA from 1 species
GUGAAAAGGGAAGCGCUUGCAACCAGACUUGCCCGCCGUCGAUCAUCCGGGGUUCUCCCCGGUGCACUCGGCGGUGUUCAGGCCAGCAUCGGUUUCGAGGGUGGGAUAAAGGCCUUGGGAAUGUAGCUUCUUUCGGGGAGUGUUAUAGCCCUCGGUGCAAUGCCGCCUCUCGGGACCGAGGACCGCGCUUCGGCUAGGAUGCUGGCGUAAUGGUUGUAAGCGACCCGUCUUGAAACACGGACCAAGGAGUCUAACAUCUAUGCGAGUGUUUGGGUGUCAAACCCAUACGCGUAAUGAAAGUGAACGGAGGUGAGAACCCUUAAGGGUGCAUCAUCGACCGAUCCUGAUGUCUUCGGAUGGAUUUGAGUAAGAGCAUAGCUGUUGGGACCCGAAAGAUGGUGAACUAUGCGUGAAUAGGGUGAAGCCAGAGGAAACUCUGGUGGAGGCUCGCAGCGGUUCUGACGUGCAAAUCGAUCGUCAAAUUUGCGUAUAGGGGCGAAAGACUAAUCGAACCAUCUAGUAGCUGGUUCCUGCCGAAGUUUCCCUCAGGAUAGCAGUGUUGUUUUCAGUUUUAUGGGAUAAAGCGAAUGAUUAGAGGCCUUGGGGUUGAAACAACCUUAACCUAUUCUCAAACUUUAAAUAUGUAAGAAGUCCUUGUUACUUAAUUGAACGUGGACAUUCGAAUGUACCAACACUAGUGGGCCAUUUUUGGUAAGCAGAACUGGCGAUGCGGGAUGAACCGAACGGGAAGUUAAGGUGCCGGAAUCUACGCUCAUCAGACACCACAAAAGGUGUUGGUUCAUCUAG